rnacentral:rRNA from 1 species
GACGGGGGGGCAAGUGUUCUUCGGAAUGACUGGGCGUAAAGGGCACGUAGGCGUGAAUCGGGUUGAAAGUGAAAGUCGCCAAAAAGUGGCGGAAUGCUCUCGAAACCAAUUCACUUGAGUGAGACAGAGGAGAGUGGAAUUUCGUGUGUAGGGGUGAAAUCCGUAGAUCUACGAAGGAACGCCAAAAGCGAAGGCAGCUCUCUGGGUCCCUACCGACGCUGGGUGCGAAAGCAUGGGGAGCGAACAGG